AUACACGUGGGGCACAGGGAUCUGGUGCCUCGUGACAGCGCCCCACUCAGGCCCCAGCUGGAACUGAGCGCAGCCCCCAUCCGGGGAACGGGGCCAGUCUCCCCCUGGUGGAGCCGCUGAGGUGUGUCCGUCAGCGACGGCGGAAUCGCUCACUCCGCACCGGCCUGACUCCUCAAUACAAAUACGGCCAGUGGGUCCCUGUUGUGAGGACGGCAUGGGAGAGAUGACUUCCUUCCAGCCUAAGGGAUUGUGCACCGAAGACAGCACAGACAAGCAUCCUUGGUCAUUGCAUGGAAUAGAACAUUUCAACAGCUCAAACACACUGGCAAUGCUCCAGGAGAGGAAUGAAUGU
rnacentral:lncRNA from 1 species